CGGGGGCAGCGUCCGGCCAUGCUGCCCGCCGGGGACACUGCCCGUGGUGCGGCACGCAGCGGCUGCUCUCUCCUGAGGAGCCUCCGGCCACGCUGCCCGCCGCGGA